UGAAGAGACUCAUCCUAUUCCUUUCAGAAGC
rnacentral:piRNA from 1 species